CGUCAGCAGGGCCAGCAAGACGGCGACUUCCACUGGCUGUAAGCCAUCAAAGCUUUGCAUGCGUGAGGCCGGGUUGAUGUUGACUUAAUCAAUCUCCCUGCUGGCGAGGACUUCCUACAGUUAAACACACAUGUCUGGUUAUCAAAGACUCAUGUAGGAUGGUCCCGAGCUCCAAACCAUGGAGGCAGUGGCCUCUUCUCUGUCUCUGUUGAAAAUGUUAAGCACGAAGGAAAGCAGCUGCAUCACCACAAACGCCAAGGAGAAGCACACGAAUGAAUCUGGGUUUCCAUUUUGAAGUUAUAGCUGCUGUACUGAAAGGAAAGGAACUCUUUUCUCCGUGAAAAUGCAAAGAAAAAUAAAUCUGGGUUAUUGGUCACUCACCUGACCCAGGCCCCAGAUAGAGCAAUCGAGGCGGUGGCCAUGGCGCUCCCAGAUCGGCGACGGCCUCUACAGAUGAGCGCCACCCAUCGCUCAUCGUCAAAUGCUUCGAGUUGCCCGCGACGAAGCUGCUCGACUUCGGUGCCUCCCCUCCGUGUGGUUCCGCUCGAGGGCCGUGCGGUUCCUUGUGAGGGGAGGGCUCGGCUGCUCCGACGCCUCAAGGUGCACGAGCGAUCCAAGGACCUUUGUGCUGGCUCAG